UCUCAAAACUUUCUAAGACGGGGUUCCUGGAUAGUGCGACUGCCUCUAUGUUGUGUUUUCCUGGUGAGUAGAUGACUUUGAAGUCGUACUGCGAUAAGUAGUGCAUCAGGUCUCCAAAAGUUUCAUCGGUUCUUGCUUUGAUUCUCAUUGAUUCCAACGGUUUAUGGUCUGAAAGGACAGUGAAGUAUCUACCGAUUAACUAAUGCUGCCAGUACUGAAUCGCCUCUUUGAUAGCAAGACAUUCAAGGUGGAUUGCUUUGGUAAGCGAUUAGUAUCUGCGAAUUCGUAGAAUUCGUGGAUAAUUCUCGAGCUGUUUCGUGCGCACGCGAUUUUAAGUGGCACGCAAACAGGUGCACCUAUCCGCGUAGCGCAAGAAAUGUAUCACGGAGGUCGUUGCAGGUAAUAUCCAUCGACAGACGGGACAAUUCGGGUGCACAAUCUAUGCCUAUGACUGUGCAGUAGGGCAUACUCUUCUCGACCACUUGUCUGGCGCCAACCACCACUAUUGUCUCGCGAAGGCCAAGCUGUAAAUCUUCGUUGCUUAUACCGUUUUCUUGAAACGACGUUGCGACACAAUCUUCCAGUGUGAGUGGUAGCUUAUUCGGUAAGGGAAAUCACAGUUAAAUUUCAUAAUACGGUAUUUUUAUCGGUACGUAGAACGUUCUCCGGUAAAACAUCAAAAUUAUUCAAUUUUGCAAUUUACAAUGUUUUCUUCGCGCAAGUACCCUUCAAGUAAAUUUAUUAAUUUACUGCAGAGAUUACUCGCGUGUUUUUAUUCUUCGAAAGAAUUGCAAAUUAAGCGUCUAACGCAAUUUUACGUCGUGCAUAUUUAUCCGCAACUGUGAUACGAAUUCAGAGGUUCGACAAGGAAAAAAAAGAAAAAUGAAAAAAUAAUGUGUAUUCUGUGCAACCACGGAGAAAGGAAUAUCCGUUGAACAACCAGUUUGUGAAAUAUCGAUUGAAUUUUUUACCGAAUAACUUGCUGAAAAUAACGUCAAUUGUUUUAAAAUUAAUAAAAUUUGUAUUCCAUGCAAAGAUAUUAAACCGAUAGAAAUGCCGAUUUUA